UACGUAGGUGGCAAGCGUUAUCCGGAAUUAUUGGGCGUAAAGAGCGCGCAGGUGGUUGAUUAAGUCUGAUUUGAAAGCCCACGGCUUAACCGUGGAGGGUCAUUGGAAACUGGUCGACUUGAGUGCAGAAGAGGGAAGUGGAAUUCCAUGUGUAGCGGUGAAAUGCGUAGAGAUAUGGAGGAACACCAGUGGCGAAGGCGGCUUCCUGGUCUGUAACUGACACUGAGGCGCGAAAGCGUGGGGAGCAAACAGGAUUAGAUACCCGU
rnacentral:rRNA from 1 species